GUCAGGAUGGCCGAGCGGUCUAAGGCGCCAGAUUUAAGAACUGGAGGCGUGGGUUCAAAUCCCACUUCUGACA